CGCUCCAUAAAGAAGUCCAGUCGCUAGCAUAACUAACACGAAAUUGAUUAAACAACAUCACAUUAUUAUCUUUAAGGGAGAUUUCGCAUUAAGAAUGCCAGUAUGGAGAUGCUUGUAAACGGUGUGUUCUACUUGGUGGCGGAGUAGCAUUAGUUGUGGAGGGAGUAACACGCCGACUGACUACCAACUUGGACUGCUACAAAGUGUGAAUUGUGUAUUUCGUUUGGAGUUGUGGGACGCUGGGACGUUCGGAACAGGUGUGGUGGCAGACCAGGCACUUGGUGAGCACAAGACACAAACAAACACACAAACAGACGACAGAAGAGAUGAAGAGGGAGCAGAGGUGAUUCUAAGUUUGGUUCCAUAACUGGACAGAGAAGAGAAGAGAAGAGAAGAGAAGAGAAGAGAAGAGAAGAGAAGAGAAGAGAAGAGAAGAGAAGAGA